rnacentral:lncRNA from 1 species
UAAAAUUUGGCCGUUUUAACUUUUUUGGAUUGGAGCGUCACUGGUGAGUCUUUUGUAGACAAAACGCGCGUCUGGCGUAAAUACAAAAUAUCUUUUGGUGAUGUUGGGUUACUGUCUCAUUAAAUCUACCCUGUAUGACAAUUACAUGUAACUUCCUAAUUACAAACACUAAAAAUAAAUUUGAGAAUGGAAAUGAGGAAUGUGACAAAGAGACAACAACUACAACAAAGAGCAGAAAAUAGCCGAAAGCCACCGAUUGGUCUUCUAACUGUUUAUGCUGAAACUUAGGAGCUGCUAAAUAAAAGUAACUGGCUGAGUUUGUAAGUCUCUUAGUUGAACAUAUUCGAAUUAAACAGUCACAUUGAUUUUUAUAAAAC